AUACAAAUAAAAACAACAAAAAAAAUUUGAAAGAGGAACAAAAAGACCACGUAUGUGUCCCCAGGGCUAGUUCUUUCUCUAGGUCUGGUUUUACAAAUUCUGGUAAUAAAC